rnacentral:rRNA from 1 species
AUACGUAGGUGGCGAGCGUUGUCCGGAAUUACUGGGUGUAAAGGGUGCGUAGGCGGACUUGUAAGUCAGGCGUGAAAACUAUCGGCUCAACCGAUAGCCUGCGUUUGAAACUGCGAGUCUUGAGUGGUGAAGAGGUAAGCGGAAUUCCUAGUGUAGCGGUGAAAUGCGUAGAUAUUAGGAGGAACACCAGUGGCGAAGGCGGCUUACUGGACGAUAACUGACGUUGAGGCUCGAAAGCGUGGGGAGC